rnacentral:sRNA from 1 species
GAGCAGCGUGCCAGAAGCCUGCUCGACGACAGCAAAGGUACGUACGCGCACAUAUAACAUUUGCUUAUUUAUUUCAACUGGUCUUUGUUGUUUGAUGAUUGACCAAAGGAGUCCUGCUGAG